rnacentral:rRNA from 1 species
AGUGAACGCUGGCGGUAGGCCUAACACAUGCAAGUCGAACGGCAGCACAGGAGAGCUUGCUCUCUGGGUGGCGAGUGGCGGACGGGUGAGGAAUACAUCGGAAUCUACUCUGUCGUGGGGGAUAACGUAGGGAAACUUACGCUAAUACCGCAUACGACCUACGGGUGAAAGCAGGGGACCUUCGGGCCUUGCGCGAUUGAAUGAGCCGAUGUCGGAUUAGCUAGUUGGCGGGGGAAAGGCCCACCAAGGCGACGAUCCGUAGCUGGUCUGUGAGGGUGAGCAGCCACACUGGAACUGAGACACGGUCCAGACUCCUACGGGAGGCAGCAGUGGGGAAUAUUGGACAAUGGGCGCAAGCCUGAUCCAGCCAUACCGCGUGGGUGAAGAAGGCCUUCGGGUUGUAAAGCCCUUUUGUUGGGAAAGAAAUCCAGCUGGCUAAUACCCGGUUGGGAUGACGGUACCCAAAGAAUAAGCACCGGCUAACUUCGUGCCAGCCGCCGCCGUAA